GUAGGGAGCAAGCGUUAUCCGGAUUUAUUGGGCGUAAAGGGUGCGUAGGCGGCUUGUUAAGUAUGAGAUUAAAGCCCGAGGCCUAACCUCGGUUCGUUUCAUAAACUGGCAGGCUUGAGUGUGGCAGAGGUAAACGGAAUUUCUAGUGUAGCGGUUAAAUGCGUAGAUAUUAGAAGGAACACCAGUGGCGAAGGCGGUUUACUGGGCCAUAACUGACGCUGAGGCACGAAAGCGUGGGGAGCAAAUAGGAUUAGAUACCCUAGUAGUCCACGCCGUAAACGAUGAGUACUAAGUGUUGGGGCAACCCAGUGCUGAAGUUAACACAUUAAGUACUCCGCCUGAGUAGU
rnacentral:rRNA from 1 species